rnacentral:lncRNA from 1 species
GUUUUAGAUGUACAAUACCACCCAUGUCCUCUUUUCAUGUAGGACAGUUGCCUUCAUCCAUCUGUGAUUGUGAAAGUCUUUACUGUCAGCUAGGUGUGCAUAUGAGUGUCACAAUUUCCUCUGUGUGUUAGGCCCUGUUAUGACACUCCCUAUACAACCCAAAGGUGUUACAAAAUAAUUGUGAGUGUUGUAAU